AGAAAUCCUCACAAAGUUAUUCACUGCUUAUUGUGGGCGUGGACUGUUUGAACCAUCCAAUCACAACGCUUGUGUAUUGACUCUCCAGCCAUGACAACAAACUUUCGCCAUUGCUUGGAGUUGGACGAAGUGCGACAGAGCGUCGUAGUAAAUGUAUCUGUGUUAAUUGCAGUUAAGACAAAUGUUUCUGCGAGGAUGAACGGAUUCAGCACUGGCGAAGAAGAUUCAAGGGGCCCACCGGACCAAGUGUGCUGUCUAGUGGAUGAUGGAGAGAGAUGUAUGCGACCAGCUGGUAACGCGUCAUACAGCAAACGAAUACAAAAGAUCGUCACUCAAAGAAGAUUAAAACUGCACAUAGACCGUGUGGCGAGGCACAUAUACAUAUGUGAUUAUCAUAAGACUGUCAUACAGUGUGCACGAACAAAACAAAGACGAAGGAAGGAUUCAGAAGAUGACUCAAAUGAAACUGAUACAGAUGUUCCUGAAGUGGACUUGUUUCAGCUGCAGGUGAAUACGUUACGAAGGUACAAACGCCAUUACAAAGUGGCAACGAGGCCAGGCAUAAACAAAGCUCAAUUAGCUGAUACACUGAUGAAGCACUUUAAAUCCAUACCUGUUAAAGAGAAGGAGAUAUUGACUUUCUUCAUUUACAUGGUGAAAACCAACAGCAAUAAGCUUGAUCAGAAAAACGGAAUAAAUGUUGAUGCAACGUAGAUGAUUUUACUAUGAAAUAUUCUUGUAUGUGCUGUUCGUGGGUCUUCUGAAUCGUGUACAUAGAUGAAUACUGAUGAAAUUUUGCAGUGGUCUCAACUGCAACUUGUGAAUUGCAUUCUGAAAAUGAAGAAAGGGAAGUGUAGGACCUUUGCAUUUUUUGGUUACUGUUUUGUAAAUGUUUGUUACUUAGUAAAUGAAAUCAAGUGACAAACGGCUAUAACAGUAUAUUUACAUGCAACAAAAGUGUUGCCAGUACCUUCUUUAUAGGUGGCUUGUUAAUCCAACAGUUAUUCUAUAGAUGUGAAUCCAUGCUGGUUGGCAAAGAUGUGGUCAUUCAGUUCAAGAUACCUCAUUAUGUUUGAGCUCAGAAUAUUUUCUACCAUUCAUGUCGAGGAUUUAUAUUGACGCUGACGAACUUAUCUUCAGACCUCCACAUAUCAGAAUAUUUGUAAUAAAGCUUAGAGUAAAUGCUGCAUGGCUAUCAAAAGAUGGCAUUGGUAUAGCUGCACUUGAAUCCAAAUACAAUUGAUGAUGAAGAUAAAUUUGGUGCAGCAGCACAGUUUAUGAUUAAGAAGUCACUAGAAAAGUUACAUGUAAUGGCAACCAACAUUAUCAGCUGGAUAAUUUCAGAAAUUUGGCAUCUUCAUCAUGUAUACUAUGGUCCCUACAUCCCACCAACAGUCGGAUGAACAGCAGUGUUUGCCAAUCAUGAAGCACGUCAAAUGGCAGAGAAAUAGAGAUUGUGAAUUGAAAAAAGUGGAAGCUGCAACUGAAGAAAGAACAAUUGAUUCAAAGGAGAUGCUGAGUUUAGCAUAAACACCAUGGAGCUGUCAACACUUGAUUAUCAUUGUUUCAUUAUGCUUCUAAGGCAGUACUCUUGUGAAUGAUGAGUGUAUUUGAACAAAAAUGUAUUGCAACUAAUUUAUUAAAGUUGAAUUACCAGAGAU